CCCACUGAACUUUAAACCUAAUUCUGUUUCUCUCCACAGAUUCUGUCAGACCUGCUGAUUUUCUUCAACAUUUUGUUUAACCUAAUUUCCCACUUAUGCAAUAAUGGCUAUGGCUAACUUUGAAGACCAAUGUCACUCAGGAAUUUUCCCUUCCCACAUUAUGAGUGACUAGAACUAUAUCGUUCAAAUUUGUUUGAAGGUAAUACAGAGGCCAGGAUGAAUGACCUACGGACAGGAGUUCAAAUUCCACCAUGGCAAUGGGAAAUUUAAAUUCUGUUCACUUCAUAACUAAGUACACGAAGUUGGUCUCUUUAACAAUGAUGGCAAUACUGUCAUGAUAUAAUGUAAACAUCCAGGUUACUUUGGAACUGUCUGAAGUCUUCAGCUGCAACUCAGUUUGGAGGCAUUUGCAAUGGGCCCUUGUCAGACAUGAAAGUUUCGCAGACAAUUCCUAAACAGGCCAUUGCGUGUGGACCUCCCUUGGGUCGUAAAACACCUCUCCAGUCACAAGUCUGGUCUCCAAUGGUCUAGAGCCUGGAAGAUUUGGGCCCUCAUCCAGGGCUUGCAAGGAUUAAUUGAGCGAUCAAAUCGACUUCUGCUAAUUAUACGGUAUUUCAAACUUCACCAUGGAUUUCAGCCCCUCAAAACUAGUGCCCCUGUAAUAGUCGACCCUAUAAAUUGAACCUUUAAAAAUCGUCUUUAAAAAAAAAUCAACAUUUACACGAGUAUAUACGGUAAUUUACAGCAAGCCAGAUACAACGGAACCAUGAAUGACAACAUGCUCCAAGCAUGAAGUUGAGAGAGACCGAGUGACAUAACAUUUGACAUGUCUAAGCAGACAUCAUUAAAUACAAUGGAAUGUUGAAUGAUAUGCCUCACAUGGAAUACAUAUCCCAGAAGGUUGAGAUAACAUCUUACAAAGUCUGAGGCAUAGGAGCCUGUCCUAAUGGAUUUCUGCACCUCAAGUUCAGUUACUCUUAAUACAAUUACCAAACAAAAAGACAUUGAUUUCAAUCUUGAAAGGUUAGUGGUACCAGCAACCAUGGCUUUUCUGGCAGAGUGAAGGAGACAAAGAUUUAGGGAUCAAAAUGUUUCAGAUUUCCUCUUUCUGUGUGAAGUACUUCUCCCCGAUUUCACUCUGAACUGGUCCAGUUAUAACUUUUUAAGGUUGCAUUCCUAGUUCUGAGCUCCCCCACCAAAGAAAAUAUUUUUUAAAAAAAUCUACCUGUCCCACUAAAAUCUCUCAGAAAUACAAAUCAAGAUCCGCAUGUCACAUUCAUGAUUCAACUCUGAGCCUUGGCAUCAUUCUGCACAAACCCUUCCAUAGGCCAGCGUACUUCCUAACUGGUGGUGUCCUAACCUGUACAUAGCAACCCAGAAAGAUCUGAUCAAUACAUUGUAUAACUGAACCACACAAAACCCUUUGUAUUCCAGUAUUCUGUGAUAGAGGCAAAUAUUCCAGUAGCAAGUUAAGAUUGCUUUUUGAACUGGAGCAGAGACUUUUAAUUACUGUA